rnacentral:tRNA from 1 species
UGAUAAUUAGUUUAAUAAAAACAAAUGAUUUCGACUCAUUAGAUUGUAAGCCACAUUGCAAUUAUCAA